ensembl:lncRNA
GGAGACCUCCUGACUGCAACAAAUAAAGCACCAGGUCAAGUAAUUUCACACCGGAGCGACAAAAUGAGCUGUGAGCUUUUCAGGUUUUAAUGAAAGCAGUGUUUCGGUGCACAGGAUAAAGAUGAAACAGGUCUCUGCUUGCACUGUUGUGUAAACUCUGCCGUCUUUAAAACCACGCUCCCGCACCUGUCGUUCAGGUGUCUCCUUUUUCAUGUAUGUUUGUUGCUUUACGUGCUCCACGAGUCAGUUUAUGUGUCAGUUCGCGUUAGUCAUGGUCCAUUUUGCGAGUGACUCAAAGGUAUUGUUUCAAUAGUUGCUUCAUUCCUCAGGGUGUGUGGGUGUGUGUGUAAAGUAUUUUGGAUUUGACAAUGCCCUCCGUGUGGGUGUGUGUACAUCAGAAAGCAUCUUGUAAAUUCUUUAUUUGUGAGUUCAGCGAUUUGAAACAGAAAUAGAUGUGGACAUGGAGUCCCAGAACUAUGAUCACACCAAUUUCACUUUAUUGGUAAAACAUCUUUCUGUGCAAUGUGUAAACAGGAAAGGGUUCGGUGCAGGAUGAAGAGAAAGAGGGGAAACUUGCUGUUUGGAAUUCCCAAAUUCAUUUCCACGCCUAUAUUUUGCUGUAAUUCAGCAAUCAUGGAACAGUCUGUCUCCACAAACCUAAACACGCAGCAUCACGAAGAAGAAGGAGCGAUCAUCAAGGGGAAAUUCAGUAGAAAUUUCUGGAAAAGCAUCAAUCAGAAUUUGUUUAUACAUUAUUUGGCACAACAAUGACUCAUUUUUAUUUGUGUAUAAUUUUGCAAGCUGUAUUAACCCCCUCCACACUGUAAUAUUAUGGGCUGUUUCAGCGGCAUCAAACAAUGAAUGAAUUUAUCUUAUAUGUUCUUUCCACUAUUUCUUAUCCAAAACACUCAUGAAGAAUAAAACGAAAUAGGAAUAAAAUGCUGUGGUGGUGUGAUGCGGCCUGGCGUUGGAGUUGUUGAGUUCCUGUUACCACCCUGAAGUUGUUUCUUUUCGUUAAACAUCAGGUCUUACAACAUCAGGUGUGUUAUUUCUCUCAUAACACAUUAAUUUGAACAUGUUACAUUUUCUAACCAAUUAUAUUUACAUUUUAUUUUGUGGAACUUCUGUGGAAUGACCACCAAACUAGUAUAUGAAAUCAAAUUUGUGACAAACUUAUUGAAACAACAAAAAAUAACUUUACCCAGAAACUAGAAACUCCUCUGUCCUGAAAACUUACUGUUACAAGGCACUGACACUAGAGAUUCCUUUCAUUAAUGACAUAUAAACAUCUCCUUAAUAUCAAAGGUUAUGCAUUUUCCUUUGCUGCACGUUUUGUAGUCUGUUGAUUUACUAUUCUUAGACUCAGACUAUUGUACAGCAUACGCAGUUUAACUCCUUGUCAAGUAGUUAUUACUAUAGAAACGAUAACUUCUUAGCAUUAAUGUUAACCUGUCUCCUUCCUUUUGCAUGUGUGUAAAACCUGAUGGUUUGUCUCUACCCCUCUAUUGAAGUUUUUCACGAGUUAUUUUGAAGCAAAAUAGACUUCAUGCAGACUCUUAUGUUUAAAACAACACUAAUAAAUUAAAUGUU